UACGUAGGUGGCGAGCGUUGUCCGGAUUUAUUGGCGUAAAGCGCGCGCAGGCGGUGCGGUAAGUCUGUCGUGAAAUCUCCCGGCUCAACUGGGAGGGUGCGGUGGGGACUGCCGGACUGGAGGCACUCAGAGGCCGGUGGAAUUCCCGGUGUAGUGGAUGAAUGCGUAGAGAUCGGGAGGAACACCAGUGGCGAAGGCGGCCGGCUGGGGUGACCUGACGCUGAGGCGACGAAGCGUGGGGAGCGAACCGG
rnacentral:rRNA from 1 species